AGGUUCGAGACUUCCUGAAAAGGUUUGAGAGCAUCCCAGACAUGCUGGAACUGGAUCACCUGACUGUUUCAGGAGACGUUACCUUCGGAAAACAAGUCACACUCAAGGGAACGGUUAUCAUUAUUGCUAAUCAUGGAGACAGAAUCGACAUCCCGGCCGGAGCGAUACUAGAGAACAAGAUCGUUUCAGGAAACCUGCGCAUCCUGGACCACUGAGGCCUUUACAACCGAACCACAACCGUGUGUGUGUGGAAACGUGUGUCCAUCUGAUGAUUAGCAUUAAAUGCCUGUAUGAAAACAUCAGAAUUUACUGUAAAUGCUUUUGACAGUGAAUUUUACAAAGGGCUGUAUAAUGGGUUUUUAACAGACUGGUUUUGCUGCUAUGUAGCUCACUCAAUAAAACACUGAAGACAAGUGUAAGAAAUGGCA